rnacentral:rRNA from 1 species
CAGUAGCCGCGGGAAUACGAAGGGGGCUAGCGUUGUUCGGAAUUACUGGGCGUAAAGCGCACGUAGGCGGACAUUUAAGUCAGGGGUGAAAUCCCGGGGCUCAACCCCGGAACUGCCUUUGAUACUGGGUGUCUUGAGUGUGGAAGAGGUCAGUGGAAUUGCGAGUGUAGAGGUGAAAUUCGUAGAUAUUCGCAGGAACACCAGUGGCGAAGGCGGCUGACUGGUCCACAACUGACGCUGAGGUGCGAAAGCGUGGGGAGCAAACAGGAUUAGAUACCCCGGUAGUCCCUGUCUCUUAUAA